rnacentral:rRNA from 1 species
AGUGAACGCUGGCGGUAGGCCUAGCACAUGCAAGUCGAACGGCAGCACAGUAAGAGCUUGCUCUUACGGGUGGCGAGUGGCGGACGGGUGAGGAAUACAUCGGAAUCUACUUUUUCGUGGGGGAUAACGUAGGGAAACUUACGCUAAUACCGCAUACGACCUACGGGUGAAAGCAGGGGAUCUUCGGACCUUGCGCGAUUGAAUGAGCCGAUGUCGGAUUAGCUAGUUGGCGGGGUAAAGGCCCACCAAGGCGACGAUCCGUAGCUGGUCUGAGAGGAUGAUCAGCCACACUGGAACUGAGACACGGUCCAGACUCCUACGGGAGGCAGCAGUGGGGAAUAUUGGACAAUGGGCGCAAGCCUGAUCCAGCCAUACCGCGUGGGUGAAGAAGGCCUUCGGGUUGUAAAGCCCUUUUGUUGGGAAAGAAAAGCAGCAGGUUAAUACCCCGCUGUUCUGACGGUACCCAAAGAAUAAGCACCGGCUAACUCCGUG